ensembl:lncRNA
GAUCACAUGAUGUUAAAAACUCAUAAGUAAAAAAACCUGCUCAGUGUGUCAGCUGGCAGCCACAAGAGCAGCCCACCUCCGUUGCCAUGGGAGCGUUGUCUUAUUAUAAUUCCUGUUUUGUUCCUCUGUCCAGGUCAUAAAUGUGCCAAAGUCCGGCAGCGGCCCGGGCUCCCCCGCUCUGUACAGCCCCGCCUCCUCAGACUCAAACCCCGCCCCCGUCUACAUCAACCACCACAAACCAUCCAAUCAUGGCUCGGUGCAGUACCUCUCCACCAAUCACAGCUCCGCCCCCUCCUACAUCCCGACCAGUCACGGCGCUCCGUUCCACCACGAGUCCAUGCCUGUGUGGGCGGGGCCAGAGGACGACUGGGAGGAGUCAGAGCAGCCCAGGGUCCACUACGCCCGGGGCCCGAGGCGCGGGUUCAGACACCGCGGUAGAGGGCAGCACCGACCCAGAGGAUACAACAACCAGUACCAACGAGGAGGGAGGGGGCGCUACUGAGCAACAGCCAAUCAGAGCAGAGGACACUGACAGGUCUCGUCUGAGUCUCGUCUGAGUCUCGUCUGGAUUUCUUGUCCUCGAUUUCCAAACCAAAGAACUCGUCGUGUUGGAGAUGUUUCCAAUGAACUGUUUCCAUUUGUGGCGUCGCUUUUACUUCAUUAAGACACUAUUUCUGUAUUUGACACACAUUUAUUUCCUGCUUUUAUUCCGUCUUUUACUUUGAAACUUCCUCAAACUGUUAUAAAAGUGUUUUUGUCGUUCGUUUGUGUAAAUCCACGUCGCCACCUGCUGCUUCCUGUAAAUCCUGUUUCUUUUCACUUUCCUCCUCGAUUCCUCAGCUGUCAAUCAAGGCCCCAGAGGAGACGGAGCCAAUAGGAAGCCACGUCUGUCCUGAGUGGGCGGGAUCAAGCGCCCCAGAUGCCCCGCCCCCUCCCUGUGGUCAGAAUCACCUACAGACCGCCGCACGUACGCUUCAUGUAAAAAACACUUAAAGAUUCACUCUGAACUUUUGUAGUGGAGGGUCCAGCGUUCCCUUGUCUCCAUGGAGAUGAUAUUUCUUUGCCUGGAAUGUUCCACACUAUGACAUUAAACUUAAAUCCAUCAUUUUAUUAUUACUAUUUUUUUUUGUUGUACAGGUUUUUCUUUUUUUUUUUAAAUUGAGUGGGCUCGCCUUUCCUAUGAUCUGACCUGUAACUCGGUUUAAAGCCAUACUGUGGAACAUUCCUGGCUAAAAGUAGAGACAGUUUCAGCGUUGGUCAUCUGGACGGUAUUUUUUGCGAUGUUUCAGCUCAAUCUGCACCAUAAACUGUUUGUAUAAAUGGACGUAGCUAACAUGCUAAUUAACAUUAAUCUCUAGCGUUAGCAACAGGUUUGAUUGACAGCGUUGCUAAGUGCUUGUCCGUACGUGGUGGUGACGUCACGCUCGCUCAGUCCACGUCUUUACACCGUCUAUCAUCUGAUGGAACUGGUUUAAAACUCUGGGAUUUUACGCUAACCGGAGUUUAGCUAAUCUGUUUCCAUGGAGACAAGCAGGUAGCUGGCCCCGCCCACCGCUAAAGUCACAUAGUGUAGCUUUUAACAUCACUUUAUCUCUUUUGCUGUUGUUGUAAAAUGCUGCUGGAAAAAUCAUAAUCCGUAAAAAGAGUAGAAACAGUAAGCUCUUAAACGCGCGGCGUGUUUUGCGUGGAUCAUAUUGUGGUUUCUAUGACGAUGAAUGUAAACGACUCCAGGCUUGAACGGGGGGGUCACGGAGCUUUGCGCGUUUUGACAAAGAUGGGCGCACUUACCGACCUUUAUUUUGAAGGUGUCUGCGUGUUUACAUGCUUUUAUUUUGAUGUACUUCCCUUUUUCUUUUUGUCUGUUUAAAUUUUUUCGGUGCCUUGUAGAAAGUUCUCGAUUUGAAAUAAAACUGCUGUUAUUUAAAAACAAGGGC